rnacentral:rRNA from 1 species
GGGUCAGUAGGUUGGUCGUGCCACCGGUACGUACUGGUCUCACUGAUUCCUCCUUCCUGAAGAACCGUAAUGCCAUUAAUUUGGUGUUGUGGGGAAACAGGACUGUUACUUUGAAAAAGUUAGAGUGUUUAAAGCAAGCUAACGCUUGAAUACAUUAGCAUGGAAUAAUGAAAUAGGACGAUCGAUCCUAUUUUGUUGGUUUCUAGGAUUGACGUA